ensembl:lncRNA
GUUUUAUUUUAAAAUGUGAAUUCACAGGCGUUUGUUUACAUGAAAUUCUGUCACCCUGUGCAUACCCUCAUCUGGAGGAAACGGACAGUGGCCGCGUGCCCACCCUGCUGAGGACAUGGGAGCUCCUUGGGCAGGGGUAGGGGGAUCUGAAGGCCCGGCACUCAAAAGGGGGUCUCAUCUUCCACCCUACACCCUUGGGGCGUCCCCUGUGCCAGCGCCGACCCCAGCCCCUCUCCCGCGGGUCGAGGUGGCUGGCCUCGCACGCCUCUCGCCGCCCCGCCCGCAGGCGGCGCUCUCUGGCCGGUCUCCCGCCGGGGUCGCGACGGGGCGUGCGCGCUCGAAGGGUGGCGUCCGCACUUCCUGGUAGCGGGCGCGGAGCGGCCGCAGGGUUAUUGCAGGGUACAGCGGUCGGUGCUCGCUGUCCCCACCUGUCCCUGGUCACCUGGGGCCGGGCGCGGCAGUUGUCCAGACGGCGACGUCGUCGCGGGUCUGGUCCGGCGCCAGCGCCUCGGACGUAGAGCGGGAGCCGGGAGUCGCCGCGCAUCAGGUGGCUUCGGGAGGUGGCAGCAGGGCCCGCCCCCUGCAUUCCGGAGGCGGCCGGGGAGGAAGGUCCAGCCGCUGGGAGGAAACGCGCUGGGUUUACCCCAUUGCUUUGCUUGUGCAAAUGACUCAGGUAAGGGCGGGGUUGGGGGAAAGAGUGUUGCUCAAACCCCAGAGAUAAACCCACAGAGACCAGAAAUGCAAAGGACUUAAGAAUGAGUGUUUGGACCUCAGAAUUGCUAAUGGCUCAGUUCAAAUCGUUUCACCUGUGCUUUUCAGAUUAUUCUUAAGCUUCUUCAAUGACAAAACUACUAAUUAACAUAUGCUUUUUUUUUUCCUUGACAGCCUCUAAGAUUGGGUUGUCUUUGUGGUAUCUCUAGAAUUGAAUUAUUGGGAAUUGCAGGUGAGGAGCAGCCUGCCAGCUGUGAGAAUCACUGGGCCAGGGGAACCUGUGCUUUUGCUAUUUAAGAGACAAGAGGGCAGUGAGAGGUGUAAACCUUGGUGGGUGCUUAUUUGAUGAAAAAAAGUUAAAUUGUGCCAAUAGGGGAAAUUUGUACUCAUUAGUAUGAAGAAUAUUAGCUUUGUUUAGUUGCUUUAGGUAAUGGUAUACCUAUUACAGUUUUUUAAAAACCCUUGCUGUUAGAAAUACAUUCUAAAUUUGAAAUAUAGGUUCAGGAUUUGCUGCAAAAUAAUCCAGUUUGGGGGAGGGCUGCCAGUGGAGAAGUGAAGGGGAGCAAGAUGGAGACUGGACAUGAAUUGUUAAUAGUUGAAGCUGGAUGAAGGGUAUUGGGGUAGGGACUGCCUUGUAUGCUGACUCUACUUUUUUAUGGCAUUUCCCUUGAAAAGUAACACCACCUGUGGAGCUUUGUUUUUUUUUUUUUUUUGUGGAAGAUAGAUUUGGAGGGUAACACUAGUGAUUCUAGAUUCAAAGCCUUCCACAGAUGUUCACUGGUAACUUGGUGUAAAGGCUGUCUCUCCACUCAAGCCUUUUUCUUCCUCUGGGGGAUGCCGCUUUAUUUUGCUGUGACGCAC